ACUAACGGCUGAGUCAGAAGUGUGCCUGAUGUUUCUGUGAAGAGAAGGAAGCCAGUGUGAUUGGAGUAGCAGAAGAGACUAGAAGAUGGGGAUGAAGAAGGAAUCGGGUGAGAGCAAAGGAAGGCCGUGAAGCCAUUGUCAGAAAUUUGUCCUUUAUCCUGACUGAGCAGAAGAAACACUGAAGGAUUUUGAGCAGAGGCAUGUCUUGAUUUCAUUUCAUUUUUAGAGGUAUAGAUAAUUCAGGCUGCUAUUUUGAGACUCGACUGAGAAGAGGUGUGUACUGGCACCCGUUUCCUACAGAUGUGUCCCUCCACUCUUUGAAGCCGAGGGCAAAAUCAUGCUGAAGACCUAGAAAUCCCACCAGUCUGAAGACCAGCUGCAACCACAAUGGGUUAGCCCUUUUCAGGAUGCCUCCUCUUCAGCAUAAAGCAGCCAGAAAGAUUGAUGACCAGCUUCCCCAGGAUUGAGGAACUGAUAAGUGGAAAGAGGGGACUGAAACCACCCCAAUUGUCCCGUAGAAUUGAUGUUUAUGAUCUUUUGGAAUAAACAUAGAUAUUGACCCUCAUGGUCUUAAAGAUUGAAAUGUACAUUGCCUGAGUUCCUUCCUCAGAAAACAAAAACUCAGGGCUCUGAGUAUCAAGGAACUGAAACUCACCAGGUCACCACAUCCAGACAAUGAGACAACAGACCCCUUAUUCAUCAUGAUUACUUCCUUCCCCCUCCGUUAUUCCCGUUUUCCCACAUGUAGCUCCAUUCCUUCCCUUUUAUAUAAACUCCCAAUUUUAAUUGAUUGGAGAGGACUUGAGACUUAUCUCUCAUCUCCUCAGCUGAUAUCACCUGAUUAAAGCCUUUCUUUCAUGGCAAUACUCAUUGUCUCAGUGACUGGCUUUCUGUACAGCAAGGAACAGGAUCUAGACCAAACCCCCUGGCAUUUUGGUAACAAGGGGAAUAAGAAACCUAGCCUUACUGACAGUUUAUUUCUUAAGUUGACUUUAUUAAAAGGUCAAGGAAAGAAAACUAGCCCAAAGAAUAAAUGAACAUACCCACUUUAUCACUUUGACAGGUUUAACAAAUUCCUAAUGAAGAAUAAUUUAUGUGUUUGCUCAGGCAUGGUGGCUUAUGUCUGUAAUCCCAGCAUUUUGGGGGGCUGAAGCAGGAGGAUUACCUGAGGCCAGA
rnacentral:lncRNA from 1 species